GGCAAGCUCCCAUUACUAAAUCAAAGGAAAAACAAAGGCAUGCAUCCGAGUGAGCAAACAUUUGCAGGAAAAAACGAAUGCAAUCAAGGCAAAUAGAUAGGUUAGCAAGGGCUAUCAAAAUAAUGGAAAAUGCAAUGAUGAAAGCAUACAAAAAGCGAAGACACCUCAACUGAGAAUCAAUAUUGUGAGGCGUUUUCAAAAAAGGGUAGAAAGAGGCAACCAAAUUCAAACUUGUAGCUUAUGGUAUUUUGCCUAACAUGGGUCUCAAAGUAGAUGGAUUAUCAGAGGGAUGGAUAAAACUGUUGCCUCCUCCACUAAGCUCAUCAUCAUUUUGAGCAGCAAUGAUACUCUAGGAACCAACAGGAGUAGCAACAGCAUUAGAAGUUUGAGUGUCAUAAUCAUCUCGGGCAAUCAGGGAUUCUGGUGGUGAUUCUUCUUAUUCCACUCAAAUGGAUCCUUUGAUUGCUUUUUUAUCCUAUUAGUUCAUUCAAUAAUGUAAGCCCUGAGCAUUUUGUCGAGCACCUUGAGUGCAGAAAAAAGGUAAUUGAAAAGGAACAUCAAAGAACUAAGAUCUCAGCUGAUAUACCCUUUUUUUCUUUUCUA